CUGAUAAGUUUGUUCUUCCUGUUAGACAGUGGAAGGAUUCCUGUGUUUGACUCCCUGAGAAAGCCUGCUCUAAUCUGAUUGAAGUAAUUCAGAAAAGAACAAGGAUCUGUGACCAAAUAUUUCAACAUGACUUAUAUACUGGAAAUAGUGGUCCCAUGUCUAAACUUGGAGAAUAUCCUUCUGGAAAAAGUGAAACUCAGGCAAGGUAACCAGAUGGAACCGGUUCUCGAGGCCAACAUGCAGUUUGCCCUGGGGGUUGUCAACUCCUUGCCAGUGACCAGCAGAAUGAAUGGGUCUCUGCUAGUAGCAGGUGAAAGCAAGUUGGUAAAGUUCACUGCUGGUGAACCCUUGUCCGAAUACACUGUUUGGCAGGAUGCUGAUGGGCCCAAGUUAGCUCGGAAAAUGAUCAAGCAUACGGUUCUAGAAAAAAAGGACAUCCAAAGCUCACACUUCUUUGGCCACUGCUGUCCACACAACCCUCCAUGUAUUGAACAGACUAGGGCAGAAAUAUACAGCACUGGUUUGUCUCAUGCUGAGGUAAAGAUUAACUGUGGGGAUCUGUUUCUCACAUAUUCAACCCCACAGCCUAAAAUGACCAUUCUGUUGCCCAAGCUAAACUAAUAUGUCAUAUCAAUAGAUAUUUGACCUUUUGGGGAUACUAGUUUUUGUUUGCUCUACUAAGUGUAUUUUAUGCAAUGCAUGUGAAAUACUCUGAAUGAAAAUGAUACCUCUGUGAUAAUUAAAGAACA